UUUUGGAUGUCUGAAUGAAAUGUUAGUUAAAGGUUAUGACAGUUAGGAAUUGGAUUAGUUAGGGUAGUUAUGAACUGAAACAGAGUUAAUUACCUGGUUUUUCUGUUUGAAAAAUGUUAUGGUAGUUUAGAAAAGGUUAAAAAAAGGUCAAUGUAUGGUGUCAGCAGAGUGUAUGGAUGUGAACUGUUUGAAUGCUGCAGGUUCUUUGAAUGUAUGCACAUGACUUCAAGGUGAUGAUAUGAGAUGAUGAUAUUGUUUUGAUGAGUGAUUUAUGACAUGGACUGAAUGUAUGUGGACUGAAGACUCAUGUGAAUGAUUGGCUUUAAAACUAGCAGCAUAAUUGGUUCUGUUUUGAAUUAAUAGUGCUGUAUGGAUGUAGAUAUAUGGGGCUGUUUUAUACAUUGCAGAAUUUUCCUCUUCUCUUCUUUGUGGCUGAAUGUGUGCAGGUUAUGGCUAUGUUAUCAAAUGAGGUAAUGCUGGCUGGCAUGUUAGUAAUGUGUAAUUUCAAUGCAGCAGGGCCGUUUGGCUUGAAUUGAGGCAUGGAUCAAAUGAAGGCGGUAUGGAGCACGGUCAUGAGCUAAAAAUGCUUUGAAGAUUAGCUUAGGAAUAGAAUUCUAGGAAUGAGAUUCCAUGUAUUUUCUGUGUAAAAUAACGGACUUUGUAAUGGGUAUUUGGUUCCUUUGAAAUCGGUGAUGAUUUGAGUUAUGGAAAGUUGAAUGUGAUUUGAUGAAUGGUGAAACUUUAAAUGAAUUUUGUAAUGGUUUUUUUGUAAUUGAUUGGAUUUAUUUUGUUCUUGUUUGUA